GACGAACGCUGGCGGCGUGCUUAACACAUGCAAGUCGAACGGAAAGGCCUCUUUCGGGGGGUACUCGAGUGGCGAACGGGUGAGUAACACGUGAGUAACCUGCCCUUGACUUUGGGAUAACUUCAGGAAACUGGGGCUAAUACCGGAUAGGAGCUCCUGCUGCAUGGUGGGGGUUGGAAAGUUUCGGCGGUUGGGGAUGGACUCGCGGCUUAUCAGCUUGUUGGUGGGGUAGUGGCUUACCAAGGCGUUGACGGGUAGCCGGACUGAGAGGGUGACCGGCCACAUUGGGACUGAGAUGCGGCCCAGACACCUACGGGAGGCAGAAGUGGGGAAUAUUGAACAAUGGGUGGAAGCCUGAUGCAGCAACGCCGUGUGCGGGAUGACGGCCUUCGGGUUGUAAACCGAUUUCGCUCAUGACGAAGCUUUGUGUGACGGUAGUGGGUAAAGAAGCACCGGCUAACUACGUG
rnacentral:rRNA from 1 species